rnacentral:rRNA from 1 species
GAAGGUGGCGAGCGUUGUUCGGAUUCACUGGGCAUAAAGGGCGCGUAGGCUGUUUCGUAAGCGGCGUGUGAAAGCCCGGGGCUCAACCCCGGAACUGCAUGCCGAACUGCGGGACUAGAGGACGAGAGGGGAGUGUGGAACUCUAGGUGGAGCGGUGAAAUGCGUAGAUAUCUAGAGGAACGCCGGUGGCGAAAGCGACACUCUGGCUCGCCCCUGACGCUGAGGCGCGAAAGCGUGGGUAGCAAACAGGGAUUGGAUACCCUGGUAGUCCACGCCGUAAACGAUGAGCACUAGGUAGCCCGUGGGAUCCGACCCAUGGCUGCUGUAGGUAAUCCACUAAGUGCUCCGCCUGGGAGUAUGGUCGCAAGGCUG